UACGUAGGGAGCAAGCGUUGUCCGGAAUCAUUGGGCGUAAAGCGCGCGUAGGUGGCCCCAUAAGUCCGCUGUGAAAGUCAAAGGCUCAACCUUUGAAAGCCGGUGGAUACUGUGGGACUAGAGUACGGAAGAGGCGAGUGGAAUUCCUGGUGUAGCGGUGGAAUGCGCAGAUAUCAGGAGGAACCCCAAUAGCGAAGGCAGCUCGCUGGGACGUUACUGACACUGAGGCGCGAAAGCGUGGGGAGCGAACAGG
rnacentral:rRNA from 1 species